AACGAAAGGAGUGAGGCGCCGAGAGCCCAGAUACCAUUUUGGCGUGAGAGCUGGUGGUUGGCAAGGCCGCGGGAGUGGGAAGCGUCCGCCAUGUUCUGCGAAAAAGCCAUGGAACUGAUCCGCGAGCUGCAUCGCGCGCCCGAAGGGCAACUGCCUGCCUUCAACAAUUAGCUGGGUGUGGUGGCACACACCUGUAGUCCCAGCAACUUAGGAGGCUGAAGUGAGAGGAUUGCAUGGCUCCAGGAAGUUGAAACUGCAGUGAACUGUGGUCACGCUAUUACACUCCAGCCUGGGUGACAGACUGAAUCCCUGUCUCAAAAAGGAAAAGGAGGAUGGACUCAGACAAGUUCUGGAGGAGAUGAAAGCUUUGUAUGAACAAAACCAGUCUGAUGUGAAUGAAGCAAAGUCAGGUGGACGAAGUGAUUUGAUACCAACUAUCAAAUUUCGACACUGUUCUCUGUUAAGAAAUCGACGCUGCACUGUAGCAUACCUGUAUGACCGCUUGCUUCGGAUCAGAGCACUCAGAUGGGAAUAUGGUAGCGUCUUGCCAAAUGCAUUACGAUUUCACAUGGCUGCUGAAGAA
rnacentral:lncRNA from 10 species